rnacentral:rRNA from 1 species
CGCGGCCGUAGGCGUAGCGGAAUAUAAUCUUUACCACG